rnacentral:rRNA from 1 species
UACGUAGGGGGCAAGCGUUGUCCGGAUUUAUUGGGCGUAAAGAGCGUGUAGGCGGCUAGAUAGGUCCGUUGUGAAAACUCGAGGCUCAACCUCGAGACGUCGAUGGAAACCAUCUGGCUAGAGUCCGGAAGAGGAGAGUGGAAUUCCCGGUGUAGUGGUGAAAUGCGUAGAGAUCGGGAGGAACACCCGUGGCGAAGGCGGCCACCUGGGCCGACCCUGACGCUGAGGCGCGAAGGCGUGGGGAGCGAACGGG